rnacentral:rRNA from 1 species
UACGUAGGCAGCGAGCGUUGUUCGGAGUUACUGGGCGUAAAGGGUGUGUAGGCGGUUCUUUAAGUUUGGUGUGAAAUCUCCCGGCUCAACCGGGAGGGUGCGCCGAAUACUGAGGGACUAGAGUGCGGGAGAGGAAAGUGGAAUUCCUGGUGUAGCGGUGAAAUGCGUAGAUAUCAGGAGGAACACCGGUGGUGUAGACGGCUUUCUGGACCGUAACUGACGCUGAGACGCGAAAGCGUGGGUAGCAAACAGG